UUUAGAGACUUUCAACUUCUUUCUCUCUGAUCUCUCUCUCCCUCUCUCUCUCUCUCUCUCUCUCGGAGAAGAAAAAAUGUUCAAUCGUCUUUCCUCAUCCGUUAAAUCUUCUUUGACUUUCUAAAAGCAAAACUUGACAGCUCAUUCACAAGAGAUUCCGGUAAAGGAACGAUGUCAAUCCUAUGCAACAACGGCAGAAAAAGAGACAAGAGAAAAAGAAAAGAGAAAUUAGAAACAACGACGAUAGAAGAGGAUCAUCAAUGUUGUUGCGUGUGGCCUCCAUUUUCAAUGGUUAGGGGAAUAAAGAGAUGUUUCUUCCUCUCAUGUUAUCCAUUUAUUCGCUGUUUAGGGUUGGAACACAGAAGACAUCGUCAUCAUCUUCAUCACCACAACCAUUUUCUAUGAUAUUUGUUUAUAAGCUUGAGAUUACUACUAUAGGCAUAUAUAUAUGAAGACAUUUCUUGGUUUCAAGAAACAAAAAACAAAACAAAAAUUGUAAAACUAAUUGAAAAUAAGAAAUCAAGAAGACAAUGGAAUGUUUAGGUUAGAGCUAAA